GACGUAGGGCGCGAGCGUUGUCCGGAUUUAUUGGGCGUAAAGAGCGUGUAGGCGGCCAGACAGGUCAGCUGUGAAAACUCGAGGCUCAACCUCGAGACGUCGGUUGAAACCGUCUGGCUAGAGUCCGGAAGAGGAGAGUGGAAUUCCCGGUGUAGCGGUGAAAUGCGCAGAUAUCGGGAGGAACACCUAUGGCGAAGGCAGCUCGCUGGGACGUUACUGACGCUGAGACGCGAAAGCGUGGGGAGCAAACAGG
rnacentral:rRNA from 1 species